rnacentral:rRNA from 1 species
GACGAACGCUGGCGGCGUGCUUAACACAUGCAAGUCGAACGAGUGGCGCACGGGUGAGUAAUACGUGAGUAACCUGCCCUCUUUUUGGGAUAAGCCUUGGAAACGGGGUCUAAUACCGGAUAAAGGGGGAUGGGCUCGCGGCCUGUCCGCUUGUUGGUGGGGUGAUGGCCUACCAAGGCGGUGACGGGUAGACGGCCUGAGGGGGUGGCCGGCCACAUUGGGACUGAGAUACGGCCCAGACUACGACGGGAGGUAGCAUUGUGGGAUAUUGCACAAUGGGCGAUAGCGUGAUGCAGCGACGCCGAGUGAGGGAUGAAGGCUUUCGGGUUGUAAACCUCUUUCGCAAUCGAACGGGUAUGUGGAGAAGAAGCGCCGGCUAACUACGUGCCAGCAGCCGCGGUAAUUC